GCGGUUGUGGCGGAAUUGGUAGACGCGCAGCGUUGAGGUCGCUGUGGGGUAACUCCCGUGGAAGUUCGAGUCUUCUCAACCGCA
rfam:Wenxinia saemankumensis strain DSM 100565 genome assembly, contig: Ga0131179_106